GAACUAAUUCUAGCCCUAACACCAACAAACACAAUUAUUUUUACAUGUAAAUUAAAACAUUCAAUAAACAAAAAGUAUUGGAGAAAGAAAUUUAUUCUAUUAGGAGCUAUAGAGAAAGUACCGUAAGGGAAAGAUGAAAGACUAAUUCAAAGUAAAAACAAGCAAAGAUUAAACCUUGUACCUUUUGCAUAAUGAAUUAACUAGAAAUCCCUUAACCAAAAGAACUUUAGCUAAGGACCCCGAAACCAAACGAGCUACCUAAAAACAAUUUUAUGAAUCAACCCGUCUAUGUGGCAAAAUAGUGGGAAGAUUUUUAGGUAGAGGUGAAAAGCCUAACGAGCUUGGUGAUAGCUGGUUACCCAAAAAAAGAACUUAAGUUCAACUUUAAAUUUACCAUAAGAACCAUAAAUCAAAAUGUAAAUUUAAAAUAUAGCCAAAAGAGGGACAGCUCUUUAGGAAAGGAAAAAACCUUUAAUAGUGAAUAAAUAUUUUAUAAUUAUAUAACCAUCGUAGGCUUAAAAGCAGCCAUCGAUAAAGAAAGCGUUCAAGCUCAACAUAUAUAAAAAUAUUAAUUCCAUAAAUCUUUAUAAUUUCCUAUUAUAUAUCGUAUAUUGGGUUAAUCUAUAAUCCUAUAGAUGAAAUACUGUUAAUAUGAGUAACAAGAAUAAUAUUCUCCUAGCAUAAGUGUAUGACAACUCGGAUAACCAUUGUCAAUUACCGAAUUAUAGGCACUAAUCACCAAAUAAAACUGCCUAAUAUAAACCCGUUAAUCCAACACAGGUAUGCUACAAGGAAAGAUUAAAAAAAGUAAAAGGAACUCGGCAAACACGAACCCCGCCUGUUUACCAAAAACAUCACCUCUAGCAUAAUAAGUAUUAGAGGCAUUGCCUGCCCAGUGACAUAAGUUAAACGGCCGCGGUAUCCUGACCGUGCAAAGGUAGCAUAAUCACUUGUUCCUUAAUUAGGGACUAGAAUGAAUGGCUGAACGAGGGUUCAACUGUCUCUUACUUUUAAUCAGUGAAAUUGACCUUCCAGUGAAGAGGCUGGAAUAACAUAAUAAGACGAGAAGACCCUAUGGAGCUUUAAUUUACUAGUUUAAUUUUACCUAAAAUUAACCUAAUGGCCUAAAAACAAAAAUAUAAACUAAAAAAUUUCGGUUGGGGUGACCUCGGAGAACAAAAAAACCUCCGAAUGAUUUUAACUUAGACCAACAAGUCGAAGUAACAUAAGUAUCUUAUUGACCCAAAAUUAUUGAUCAACGGACUAAGUUACCCUAGGGAUAACAGCGCAAUCCUAUUUAAGAGUUCAUAUCGACAAUUAGGGUUUACGACCUCGAUGUUGGAUCAGGACAUCCCAAUGGUGCAGAAGCUAUUAAUGGUUCGUUUGUUCAACGAUUAAAGUCCUACGUGAUCUGAGUUCAGACCGGAGCAAUCCAGGUCGGUUUCUAUCUAUUAACAAUUUCUCCCAGUACGAAAGGACAAGAGAAAUGGAGCCACCUUACCAAAAGUGCUCCCAAUUAAUUUAUGAAAAACAUCUCAAUAAAGUAAAUAUGUACUAUAAACUUACCUAGACCAGGUAAU
rnacentral:rRNA from 1 species